CGGUUAAUACCCGUUAGCUGUGACGUUACUCGCAGAAGAAGCACCGGCUAACUCCGUGCCAGCAGCCGCGGUAAUACGGAGGGUGCGAGCGUUAAUCGGAAUUACUGGGCGUAAAGCGCAUGCAGGCGGUCUGUUAAGCGAGAUGUGAAAGCCCCGGGCUUAACCUGGGAACUGCAUUUCGAACUGGCAGACUAGAGUCUUGUAGAGGGAGGUAGAAUUUCAGGUGUAGCGGUGAAAUGCGUAGAGAUCUGAAGGAAUACCAGUGGCGAAGGCGGCCUCCUGGACAAAGACUGACGCUCAGAUGCGAAAGCGUGGGGAGCAAACAGGAUUAGAUACCCUGGUAGUCCACGCCGUAAACGAUGUCUAUUAGGAGUCUGUGCCCUUGAGGCGUGGGUUCCAAAGCUAACGCAUUAAAUAGACCGCCUGGGGAGUACGGCCGCAAGGUUAAAACUCAAAUGAAUUGACGGGGGCCCGCACAAGCGGUGGAGCAUGUGGUUUAAUUCGAUGCAACGCGAAGAACCUUACCAUCCCUUGACAUCCACGGAAGCUUGGAGAGAUCUGAGUGUGCCUUCGGGAACCGUGAGACAGGUGCUGCAUGGCUGUCGUCAGCUCGUGUUGUGAAAUGUUGGGUUAAGUCCCGCAACGAGCGCAACCCUUGUCCUUAGUUGCCAGCGCGUAAUGGCGGGAACUCUAGGGAGACUGCCGGUGAUAAACCGGAGGAAGGUGGGGACGACGUCAAGUCAUCAUGGCCCUUACGGGAUGGGCUACACACGUGCUACAAUGGUCGGUACAAAGGGUUGCGAGCUAGCGAUAGUGAGCCAAUCCCAUAAAGCCGGUCGUAGUCCGGAUUGGAGUCUGCAACUCGACUCCAUGAAGUCGGAAUCGCUAGUAAUCGUGAAUCAGAAUGUCACGGUGAAUACGUUCCCGGGCCUUGUACACACCGCCCGUCACACCAUGGGAGUGGGCUGCACCAGAAGUCAUUAGCUUAACCUUCGGGAGGGCGAUGACCACGGUGUGGUUCAUGACUGGGGUGAAGUCGUAACAAGGUAGCCCUAGGGGAACCUGGGGCUGGAUCACCUCCUUACGAAACAG
rnacentral:rRNA from 1 species